GUCUACGGCCAGGUCACCCUGAACAAGCCUGAUCCUGUCUGAUCUCAGAAGCUAAGCAGCAUCGGGCCUGGUUAGUACUUGGAUGGGAGACCACCUAGGAAGAACAGGUGCUGUGGGUG
rnacentral:rRNA from 1 species